rnacentral:rRNA from 1 species
GACGAACGCUGGCGGCGUGCUUAACACAUGCAAGUCGAACGGAGCGGCGGACGGGUGAGUAAUGCCUAGGAAUCUGCCUGGUAGUGGGGGAUAACGUCCGGAAACGGGCGCUAAUACCGCAUACUAUCAGAUGAGCCUAUGUUGGAUUAGCUAGUUGGUGGGGUAAAGGCCUACCAAGGCGACGAUCCGUAACUGGUCUGAGAGGAGGAUCAGUCACACUGGAACUGAGACACGGUCCAGAGUACUACGGGAGGCAGCAGUGGGGGAUAUUGCACAAUGGGCGAAAGCCUGAUGCAGCGACGCCGCGUGGGGGAUGAAGGCUUUCGGGUUGUAAACCUCUUUCGCUAUCGAACGGGUAGGUGGAGAAGAAGCGCCGGCUAACUACGUGCCAGCAGCCGCGGUAAUAC